UACGUAGGGUCCGAGCGUUGUCCGGAAUUAUUGGGCGGAAAGGGCUCGUAGGCGGUUUGUCACGUCGGGAGUGAAAACUCAGGGCUCAACCCUGAGCGUGCUUCCGAUACGGGCAGACUAGAGGUAUGCAGGGGAGAACGGAAUUCCUGGUGUAGCGGUGGAAUGCGCAGAUAUCAGGAGGAACACCGGUGGCGAAGGCGGUUCUCUGGGCAUUACCUGACGCUGAGGAGCGAAAGCAUGGGGAGCGAACAGG
rnacentral:rRNA from 1 species